UACGAAGGGGGCUAGCGUUGUUCGGAUUUACUGGGCGUAAAGCGCACGUAGGCGGAUCGUUAAGUCGGGGGUGAAAUCCUGGAGCUCAACUCCAGAACUGCCUUCGAUACUGGCGAUCUAGAGUCCGGAAGAGGUGAGUGGAAUUCCGAGUGUAGAGGUGAAAUUCGUAGAUAUUCGGAAGAACACCAGUGGCGAAGGCGACUUACUGGACACAUAUUGACGCUGAGGUGCGAAAGCGUGGGGAGCAAACAGG
rnacentral:rRNA from 1 species